rnacentral:rRNA from 1 species
GUCGAGAAUCUUCCGCAAUGCGCGAAAGCGUGACGGAGCGACACCGCGUGAUGGAUGAAGUCCUUCGGGGCGUAAACAUCUUUUAUAAAGGAGGAAAUUUUUGACGUUACUUUAUGAAUAAGGGGCUCCCAAUCUCGUGCCAGCAGGAGCGGUAAUACGAGAGCCUCAAGCGUUAUCCGGAAUCAUUGGGCGUAAAGGGUGCGUAGGUGGUUUGAUUAGUCUCCCGUUAAAACUUCGAGCUUAACUCGAAAAGAGCGGGGGAAACGGUCAAACUAGAGUAUGUGAGAGGUGUGUGGAACUCAUGGUGUAGGGGUGAAAUCCGUUGAUAUCAUGGGGAACACCAAAAGCGAAGGCAGCACACUGGCACAUCACUGACACUGAGGCACGAAACCUAAGGUAGCGAAUGGGAUUAGAAACCCUUGUAGUCC